CUCGCAACAAAUAAAACAGCUGAGACAGGGACUGCAAGAGUCAAUGCUAUGGCCACUUUUGGAGGCCAGGCCAGAUGUCGCAACAGUGGUUUUCCCAUGUCAAGCAAUGGCUGGAUGCAAUUCUCAGAUGAUUCUAAAAAACAUCAUCUGGCCUGGAGAAGGGGGGUAGGAGGAUGACAAUGGAUGCCCUGUUGCCAUCAGAUGCAAAAUUGCUGGCUACCUACGGCAGUUUGUGGAGACAGUGCCUGAAGACAAACUGAAGCAGUUGGUGAAAUUCUGGGUUGGCUGGGAGCUGCCCAUGCAGGACAUGCAAGUGGAGGUCGUGCAGGCAGACCAUCCAACAUCAUCCACCUGCUUCCACAUCCUGCGCUUCCCUGGUCACUAUGCCAGUUAUGAACAUUUCCAUGAUCAUUUGGAAGGUUGUG